rnacentral:rRNA from 1 species
GACGAACGCUGGCGGCGUGCUUAACACAUGCCAGUCGAACGGAAAGGCCCUGCUUUUGUGGGGUGCUCGAGUGGCGAACGGGUGAGUAACACGUGAGUAACCUGCCCUUGACUUUGGGAUAACUUCAGGAAACUGGGGCUAAUACCGGAUAGGAGCUCCUGCUGCAUGGUGGGGGUUGGAAAGUUUCGGCGGUUGGGGAUGGACUCGCGGCUUAUCAGCCUGUUGGUGGGGUAGUGGCUUACCAAGGCUUUGACGGGUAGCCGGCCUGAGAGGGUGACCGGCCACAUUGGGACUGAGAUACGGCCCAGACUCCUACGGGAGGCAGCAGUGGGGAAUAUUGCACAAUGGGCGGAAGCCUGAUGCAGCAACGCCGCGUGCGGGAUGACGGCCUUCGGGUUGUAAACCGCUUUCGCCUGAGACGAAGCGUGAGUGACGGUAAUGGGUAAAGAAGCACCGGCUAACUACGUG